UGGUUGUAGCUAGAGCAAGAAGGGGGAAGCAAACUGGUCGGCUUGCUCUUCAGUAUCUCGCAAUCCGCUUACCAAACUUCUCACAUAA